rnacentral:snoRNA from 1 species
AAAAAUGAUGAUAAUUAUUGUUAUUCAAAUCAAAAUCCUGGAAAUAAAUUAAAUAUUGAUAAUUUAUCACAAAGAAUAAUUAAUAAAAGAAUUACUGAUUUUACUGAUU